AUGUGCAUGUGGUGACAGGGACUCAGAGACACAGAGCUCUCAGCUCAGGCAGAACUAAACACAUCUGUGCAGCGGAGCCCAUGCCUCAUGCCGCUCUCCAGCCUGCUCGGGGUCUUCCUGGCCCUCAUCUUCUCGGGAUCAGGAGUGGCCCAGACAGUUACUCAAGACCAGCCAGCCGUAUCCUCUCACGUGGGGGAGACAGUCACCCUGAACUGUCGGUAUGAAACAAGUGAUAGCAUAUACUAUAUUUUUUGGUACAAGCAGCCUCCCAGUGGAGAGAUGACUUUCCUUAUUCGUCAGGAUUCAUCUAGUGGGAAUGCCAAGAGUGGCCGCUACUCUGUAAACUUCUGGAAAGCAGAAAAAUCCCUCAGCCUCACUAUCUCAAACUUACAGCUGGAGGAUUCUGCAAAGUACUUCUGUGUUCUCCGAGAAGCACUGUGCUUGAAGUAA